rnacentral:rRNA from 1 species
AGAGUUUGAUCCUGGCUCAGAACGAACGCUGGCGGCGUGCUUAAUACAUGCAAGUCGUGCGAGAACGGGUCCUUCGGGAUCCUAGUAAAGCGGCGAACGGGUGCGUAACACGUGGGCAACCUGCCUAUCAGUUUGGGAUAAGCUCUCGAAAGGGGGUCUAAUACCGAAUGAUACCCAGAGGAGACAUCUCUUUUGGUUCAAAGACGGUGAAAGCCGUCGCUGUGGGAUGGGCUCGCGGCUUAUCAGCUAGUUGGUGGGGUAACGGCCUACCAAGGCAUCGACGAGUAGCUGGUCUGAGAGGACGAUCAGCCACACUGGGACUGAGACACGGCCCAGACUCCUACGGGAGGCAGCAGCAGGGAAUCUUGCGCAAUGGGCGAAAGCCUGACGCAGCGACGCCGCGUGGGGGAUGAAGGCCUUCGGGUUGUAAACCCCUUUCAGGAGGGACGAAAUGACGUACCUCCAAAAGAGCC